GACGAACCGUGCGAACGUUAUUCGGAUUCACUGGGCUUAAAGGGCGCGUAGGCGGACUCGCCAGUCCGGGGUGAAAUCUUUCGGCUUAACCGGAAAAGUGCCUUGGAUACUGCGAGUCUUGAGGGAGGUAGGGGCAUGUGGAACUUCCGGUGGUGCGGUGAAAUGCGUAGAUAUCGGAAGGAACGCCGGCGGCGAAGGCGGUCUGCUGGGCCAAGACUGACGCUGAGGCGCGACAGCGUGGGGAGCAAACAGG
rnacentral:rRNA from 1 species